rnacentral:rRNA from 1 species
UACGUAGGGUGCGAGCGUUGUCCGGAAUUAUUGGGCGUAAAGAGCUCGUAGGCGGCCUGUCGCGUCGGAUGUGAAAGCCCGGGGCUAACCCCGGGUCUGCAUUCGAUACGGGCAGGCUAGAGUGUGGUAGGGGAGAUCGGAAUUCCUGGUGUAGCGGUGAAAUGCGCAGAUAUCAGGAGGAACACCGGUGGCGAAGGCGGGUCUCUGGGCCGUAACUGACGCUGAGAAGCGAAAGCAUGGGGAGCGAACAGG